rnacentral:rRNA from 1 species
AGACCCGAAACCCGGUGAUCUAGCCAUGGGCAGGUUGAAGGUUGGGUAACACUAACUGGAGGACCGAACCGACUAAUGUUGAAAAAUUAGCGGAUGACCUGUGGCUGGGGGUGAAAGGCCAAUCAAACCGGGAGAUAGCUGGUUCUCCCCGAAAGCUAUUUAGGUAGCGCCUCGUGAACUCAUCUCCGGGGGUAGAGCACUGUUUCGGCUAGGGGGCCAUCCCGGCUUACCAACCCGAUGCAAACUGCGAAUACCGGAGAAUGUUAUCACGGGAGACACACGGCGGGUGCUAACGUCCGUCGUGAAGAGGGAAACAACCCAGACCGCCAGCUAAGGUCCCAAAGUCAUGGUUAAGUGGGAAACGAUGUGGGAAGGCCCAGACAGCCAGGAUGUUGGCUUAGAAGCAGCCAUCAUUUAAAGAAAGCGUAAUAGCUCACUGGUCGAGUCGGCCUGCGCGGAAGAUGUAACGGGGCUAAACCAUGCACCGAAGCUGCGGCAGCGACACUGUGUGUUGUUGGGUAGGGGAGCGUUCUGUAAGCCUGCGAAGGUGGCCUGUGAGGGUUGCUGGAGGUAUCAGAAGUGCGAAUGCUGACAUAAGUAACGAUAAAGCGGGUGAAAAGCCCGCUCGCCGGAAGACCAAGGGUUCCUGUCCAACGUUAAUCGGGGCAGGGUGAGUCGACCCCUAAGGCGAGGCCGAAAGGCGUAGUCGAUGGGAAACGGGUUAAUAUUCCCGUACUUGGUGUUACUGCGAAGGGGGGACGGAGAAGGCUAUGUUGGCCGGGCGACGGUUGUCCCGGUUUAAGCGUGUAGGCUGGUUUUCCAGGCAAAUCCGGAAAAUCAAGGCUGAGGCGUGACGACGAGGCACUACGGUGCUGAAGCAACAAAUGCCCUGCUUCCAGGAAAAGCCUCUAAGCAUCAGGUAACAUCAAAUCGUACCCCAAACCGACACAGGUGGUCAGGUAGAGAAUACCAAGGCGCUUGAGAGAACUCGGGUGAAGGAACUAGGCAAAAUGGUGCCGUAACUUCGGGAGAAGGCACGCUGACAUGUAGGUGAAGUGAUUUACUCAUGGAGCUGAAGUCAGUCGAAGAUACCAGCUGGCUGCAACUGUUUAUUAAAAACACAGCACUGUGCAAACACGAAAGUGGACGUAUACGGUGUGACGCCUGCCCGGUGCCGGAAGGUUAAUUGAUGGGGUCAGCGCAAGCGAAGCUCCUGAUCGAAGCCCCGGUAAACGGCGGCCGUAACUAUAACGGUCCUAAGGUAGCGAAAUUCCUUGUCGGGUAAGUUCCGACCUGCACGAAUGGCGUAAUGAUGGCCAGGCUGUCUCCACCCGAGACUCAGUGAAAUUGAACUCGCUGUGAAGAUGCAGUGUACCCGCGGCAAGACGGAAAGACCCCGUGAACCUUUACUAUAGCUUGACACUGAACAUUGAGCCUUGAUGUGUAGGAUAGGUGGGAGGCUUUGAAGUGUGGACGCCAGUCUGCAUGGAGCCGGCCUUGAAAUACCACCCUUUAAUGUUUGAUGUUCUAACGUGGACCCGUAAUCCGGGUUGCGGACAGUGUCUGGUGGGUAGUUUGACUGGGGCGGUCUCCUCCUAAAGAGUAACGGAGGAGCACGAAGGUUGGCUAAUCCUGGUCGGACAUCAGGAGGUUAGUGCAAUGGCAUAAGCCAGCUUGACUGCGAGCGUGACGGCGCGAGCAGGUGCGAAAGCAGGUCAUAGUGAUCCGGUGGUUCUGAAUGGAAGGGCCAUCGCUCAACGGAUAAAAGGUACUCCGGGGAUAACAGGCUGAUACCGCCCAAGAGUUCAUAUCGACGGCGGUGUUUGGCACCUCGAUGUCGGCUCAUCACAUCCUGGGGCUGAAGUAGGUCCCAAGGGUAUGGCUGUUCGCCAUUUAAAGUGGUACGCGAGCUGGGUUUAGAACGUCGUGAGACAGUUCGGUCCCUAUCUGCCGUGGGCGCUGGAGAACUGAGGGGGGCUGCUCCUAGUACGAGAGGACCGGAGUGGACGCAUCACUGGUGUUCGGGUUGUCAUGCCAAUGGCACUGCCCGGUAGCUAAAUGCGGAAGAGAUAAGUGCUGAAAGCAUCUAAGCACGAAACUUGCCCCGAGAUGAGUUCUCCCUGAGACUUAGAGUCUCCUGAAGGAACGUUGAAGACGACGACGUUGAUAGGCCGGGUGUGUAAGCGCAGCGAUGCGUUGAGCUAACCGGUACUAAUGAACCGUGAGGCUUAACCUUACAACGCCG